rnacentral:lncRNA from 1 species
AUUUUCCACGAUGUAAUUUUAGGCUGCUGCCUCUCAUUCCUUCUAGGUGUGCCUCCAAGAACAGUCUGGCUCUGUCCCCUCUGUGACCACACUGAAUGGAGGCAGGUUAUGGAUCCCUUCUCAGCUUCCUCUGGCCAAACAAACCCGGGGCUCCCAGGCUCUGUACCCCCACCCUGCAGGCUCCUGAUCACCUCUGCUGUUGGGUCAAGGAGCCCCAAACCCUACACAGAUCUCCACAUUUACACAAUGAGAAGCACAGUGACAAGGGGUCUGGUGUUUGAACUUGCUCCCUGCACUUCUUUUCCUUGGCAGCACUGCCUGUGUUGUGAUGGCUUUGAUGGCAUUUUCUAGCUCUUACCAGCACGUGGCCACACUCCUGCCUAGGAUAACCCAUUUCAGCUCUGUGGUCUUCAAAACGGAGCAGACAAAAUGAUUUACACCCAGUCUGGUCUCAGCUGUGUCCGUGUCACUGUGCAGAAGGCAAUAAGGGACGAUGUCGACAGAUGGGGAGCUGAGGACACAAUUCACCCAGCCUUCAAGAAAGCUUACAGUCCCAUACUAUACAUUAAUCCACAAGGUUUGAGGUACAGUUUACUGCAGAGGCACAGGAACUCUGGAGUGGGCACGGGGAGGAGGUGGAUGUGCAUACUUGGAGAUGGGAGAAGAAAGCAGCCUCAGGUUCCACCUCUGAGCCCUGGAUAGCACUGACAAUAAAAG